GAUGAACGCUGGCGGCGUGCCUAAUACAUGCAAGUCGAGCGGACAGACGAGGAUCUUGCUCCGCGGACGUGAGGGGCGGACGUGUGUGUAACACGUGGAUAACCUACCUAUAAUACUGGGAUAACUUGGGGAAAGCGGAGCUUAUACCAUAGAAGAUAUUGAACCGCAUGGUUGAAUAGUAAAAGACGGUUGUGCUGUCUCUUAUAGAUGGAUCCGCGCCGCAUUAGCUAGUUGGUAAGUUAACGGCUUACGAAGGGUACGAUGCCUAGCCGACCUGAGAGCGUGAUGCGCCACACUGAAACUGAGCCGCGGCCCAGACUCCUACGGGAGGCAGCAGCAGGUAAUCUUCGGAACAGGGCGAAAGCCUGCCGGAGCAACGCAGCGCGGGUGCUGCAGGUCUUCGGGUCGUAAAACUCUCUUCUUAGGGAAGACCAAAUGCGUAUGUAACUAUGCAUGUCUGGCCGGAACCGGUACAGAAAGCCCCGGCUAAUUCCUU
rnacentral:rRNA from 1 species